AUGGUGUACAUGAACCUAUCCAAAAAUCACCACGUCCUUAGAAAAGUUAGGGACUGCCUCCACUGUGGAGCAUUGCGGUUUCAGUAUGAGGGACCUGCAUUUUGUUGCAGAAAGGGGAAAGUAGGUUUGUUUACACCUGAGGUUCCGGAUGAGUUGAAACGGCUGUUCACAAGUCAAGGUGAUGACGAUGCUAAAUAUUUUCGAGACAACAUACGGUAUUUCAACUCUCACUUCUCAUUCACAAGUCUUGGAGUCACCCUUGAUCGUCGAGUAAGCACUGUGGCAGGAACCGGCGUAUAUACCUUUCGUGCAUGUGGGGGGUUGUACCAUGCUCUUGAUGAUCUGGUGCCGGCUGAUAAUGGUCCUAGGCAUUUGCAGCUCUAUAUUUAUGAUACAGAUCAUAACUUGGUGCACAGGGCUAAGAGGUCUCCAGAUCUGAAUAUAGAACUCAUACGUAAAAUUCUGCUAAUACUAGAGCCGAACCCUUAUGCACAGGCUUUCAAGAGCCUUGGGUCCGUUCCAAAUCUAGAUGAGUACAAGAUCUCACUAAACACAGAUAUCAAGUUGGAUCAACGUAGGUAUAAUGCCCCAACGACUUCUCAGGUGGCAGCUAUAUGGGUUGAAGGGAGCGACCCACAAAAUUGUUUUGACAGGAGUGUUGUUGUGCAUGGAAAAAAAGGCGACCGGCCCCUGUACAUUAGAGCAUACUAUGGGUGCUAUGAUCCAUUGUCAUAUCCACUGUUUUUCCCACGUGGGGAGACAGGUUGGAAUCGCUGGAUGCCGUAUGUUCAGGAACACAAUGACACAAACCAAUAUCCGGCGCAUUAUUCAGAUCCGCAAGAAAACCGGGCCUCUGAAUUACAUACAGAUGAAAACUUGAUGGGUGGAAGGGAACAAGUUGGCAACUUUGGGCCAGAUGAAGACCGAGUCACUGAUUUACAUGCAGAAGAUAAUUUGAUUAAUGAAAGGGAACAAGUUGGGAAUUUUGUGCCAGAUGAAGACCAUGCCAGUGAUUUACAUGCAGAUGAUAAUGAGGAUAACCAAGAUGAGGAUUUUGUUGACAAUGAGGUGAAUGCAACACAAUCCAGGAAAUUUGUUAGUGCGAGGGAGUACUACUGCUUCAAGCUACAGAUUGAGACUAUGAGGCUGGACUGGUACUCAAAGCCAGAGAAUCAAAAGGUUAUACGAGCUGACCUCUACCAGGGUCUUGUUGACACCAUCAUUGCCGGCGAGUCACGUGGUGAUCGGAUUGGUAAGAGAAUCGUGCUUCCACGCACGUUUCCUGGUGGUGAUCGCGACAUGCAGCGAAGGUUCCUCGAUGCAAUGACAAUAGUCCAACGGUGGGGUAAACCGGAUUAUUUUAUCACGAUGACUUGCAAUCACUACUGGGAGGAGAUAACACUUAAUCUGAUGCCUGGACAACUGCCACAAGACCGUCCAGACCUGGUGGCAAGGGUAUAUAGGGCUAAACAGCGAGAUAUGAUGGACUUGCUAAUUAAGGGUAAGCAUUUCGGACAAGUCGCAGCUUAUGUACAUGUCACAGAGUUUCAGAAACGAGGCCUCCCUCAUGAGCAUAUACUUUUAAUCAUGAAAGCAAAUAGCAAGUUGGCAACCCCGGAUGACUAUGAUCGGGUGAUAUCCGCAGAGAUACCGGACAAAGAGAAACACCCAGUUCUGCAUGAGCUGGUCGUCAAACACAUGUUGCACGGACCCUGUGGUGAGUUGAAAAAAAGUUGUCCGUGCAUGAUUGAUGGACAGUGUAGGUUCCAUUAUCCGCGAGAUUUUUGUGAUGCCACACAACAAGGGAGAGACUCUUAUCCCAUCUAUCGGAGGAGGGACGAUGGGCAUGGAGUUAGGAUUAGAGGAGCCAAUUUGGACAAUAGAUGGGUGGUCCCUUACAACCCUUGUCUGCUUAUGCGAUACAACUGCCACAUUAAUGUUGAAGCAUGCUCGAGCAUCAAGGCAGUGAAGUAUUUGUUCAAGUACAUAUAUAAAGGCCAUGAUCGGACAUCAUUUGCUUUUGAGCAGGACAUAAUCAAUGAUGGUGGAAUCAUCAAUGAAAUCCGACAAUAUAGGGAUGCACGCUAUGUAUCUCCUCCAGAGGCUAUUUACAGGAUUUUUGGUUUUAAAAUGUUUGGUGUCAGUCCAUCAGUGCUACAGCUCCAACUUCAUUUGCCAAAUAUGCAUACAAUUGCAUUUAAAUCUGGUGAAAAUCUAGAAGAUGUUGUCGCUCGACCAUCUUCAUCUAGGUCCAUGCUUACCGAGUACUUUGAGAUGAACCGGAAGAUUCCGCAAGCACGGAAAUUGUUGUACAGAGAGUUUCCAGAGCAUUAUAGAUGGAUAGCUGGAAAAAAGAAGUGGCAGAAGAGAAGAAAUAACAGAUCGCAGAUUGGAAGACUUGUCUACGCACACCCUGCUGAAGGAGAGAGGUACUACUUGCGUGUGUUGCUAAGUCAUGUCCGAGGUGCCACUUCAUUUGAUGAUUUAAAAACAGUAAAUGGCAACAUGUGCACUUCCUUCAGAGAGGCAUGUGAACACUUAGGCCUCAUUGAGCACGACAAGACUCUUGAUGAUUGCAUGACAGAGGCGGCCACAUUUCAGAUGCCUUGUGCCCUAAGAUGGUUGUUUGCGACUAUAUUGGUUUUUUGCGAGGCAACAGAAAUCCGACAAUUGUGGGAGAAACAUCUACCAUCAAUGUGUGAGGAUUACUGUCUUAAUGAAUCAAAUGAGUCAAUACUUGAGCAGAUGGUCCUUAGAGAUAUUAGGGAUAUGUUGCAAUCCAUGGGAAAGGAUAUUAAAAACUAUGGACUUCCGGAUCUAGUAGAGACCGAUGGUUCUUAUGACGGUGAGUACAGAGAGGUAACAGAAGAGAGGCAAAUCACCGCGGACAUAGAACAUCUAGAUCUAUUUAGCAGUUUGAACAAUGAGCAGUUGGCUGGUUUCAAUGACAUAAUAGAUCAUGUGAUGAACAAAAAAAGCCAGAUAUUCUUUGUUGAUGGUCCAGGAGGCACUAGGAAGACGUACCUGUACAAGGCAUUGCUUGCUAAGGUGCGUUCCAUGGGCCAAAUGGCGAUUGCAACUGCUACAUCUGGUAUUGCAGCAUCGAUAAUGCCUGGAGGAUGGACAGCACACUCUCGGUUCAAAAUACCAAUCAAGCUCACUGACAAUAGUAUGUGCAGUUUCACAAAACAAAGUGGUACAGCGGAGUUGCUUAGACAGGCGUCCUUGAUAAUUUGGGACGAAGUCGCUAUGAAAAAACGUCAAGCAGUUGAGACGCUUGAUAGAUCACUACAGGAUAUAAUGGAAUGUUCUUUGCCGUUUGGAGGAAAGGUUGUCGUCUUUGGUGGUGAUUUCAGGCAGGUCCUACCUGUUGUGACACAUGGGACAAGAGCGCAGAUCACGGAUGCUACACUUCUGAGAUCCUAUCUUUGGGAGAAGACCCGCAAGAUACGUCUCACACGCAAUAUGCGGGCACAGGCUGAUCCUUGGUUCUCGGAAUACCUCCUAAGGAUAGGCAAUGGAACUGAAGAGACAAUUGGCGACGACUAUGUCCGUCUCCCUGACGACAUUGUCAUUGGCUAUACCGAGGAUGAAAAAGCUAUUAACAUGCUCAUCGAAGAUGUCUUCCCAUCGUUGCAUGCCAAUGCUACAUCCAGAGAGUACAUGAGUGCACGUGCUAUUCUAUCGACCAAGAACGAUCAUGUCGAUGACCUGAAUGACAAGAUGAUCUACAGGUUUCCAGGUGAAGAAAAGUUAUAUCAUAGUUUUGACUCAAUCGAGGAUGACCUACAGAAUAAUUACACAAUUGAUUUUUUGAACUCGAUCACACCAAAUGGCUUGCCCCCACAUGUUUUGAAAUUAAAGGUCAACUGCCCGGUCAUUCUGCUACGGAACCUCGACCCUCAUAAUGGUCUAUGCAAUGGAACACGGCUUAUGAUCAGAGCCUUUCAGGAUAAUGCAAUCGAUGCAGAGAUUGUUGGUGGUCAGCAUGCUGGAAAGAGGGUGUUUAUACCUAGGAUCCCUAUGUCGCCCUCGGAGGACAUCUCACUUCCUUUCAAACUUAAGAGAACACAGUUCCCCAUCCGUCUGAGUUUUGUGAUGACAGUUAACAAGGCACAGGGUCAGACCAUCCCAAAUGUUGGCAUUUACCUUCCCGAGCCAGUAUUCUCACAUGGUCAGCUAUAUGUUGCAUUGUCAAGAGGAGUGUCGAGAGAGACAACACGGAUUUUGGCCAAGCCAAACAAGGAUGUCGAUAAAUCCAGGAAAAGCACCAAGAACAUUGUCUACAAAGAUGUUUUGGAGAGAUGA
rnacentral:rRNA from 1 species